GACGAACGCUGGCGGCGUGCUUAACACAUGCAAGUCGAACGGAAAGGCCCUGCUUUUGUGGGUGCUCGAGUGGCGAACGGGUGAGUAACACGUGAGUAACCUGCCCUUGACUUUGGGAUAACUUCAGGAAACUGGGGCUAAUACCGGAUAGGAGCUCCUGCUGCAUGGUGGGGGUUGGAAAGUUUCGGCGGUUGGGGAUGGACUCGCGGCUUAUCAGCUUGUUGGUGGGGUAGUGGCUUACCAAGGCUUUGACGGGUAGCCGGCCUGAGAGGGUGACCGGCCACAUUGGGACUGAGAUACGGCCCAGACUCCUACGGGAGGCAGCAGUGGGGAAUAUUGCACAAUGGGCGGAAGCCUGAUGCAGCAACGCCGCGUGCGGGAUGACGGCCUUCGGGUUGUAAACCGCUUUCGCCUGUGACGAAGCGUGAGUAACGGUAAUGGGUAAAGAAGCACCGGCUAACUACGUG
rnacentral:rRNA from 1 species